GGAGGUGUAGCUCAGUGGUAGGGUGCAUACUUAGCAUGUGUGAGGCCCUGGGUUUAAUCCCUAGUACACCCA
rnacentral:tRNA from 1 species